UCCAAAGCUUACCAGGGUAGGUUCCCAGAC
rnacentral:piRNA from 1 species